UACGUAGGGGGCGAGCGUUGUCCGGAUUCAUUGGGCGGAAAGAGCUCGUAGGCGGCUUGGCAAGUCGGAUGUGAAAACUCCAGGCUCAACCUGGAGCCGCCAUUCGAUACUGCUAUGGCUAGAGUCCGGUAGGGGAGUGUGGAAUUCCCGGUGUAGCGGUGAAAUGCGCAGAUAUCGGGAGGAACACCGAUGGCGAAGGCGGCGUACUGGACCUCUUCUGACGCUGAGGCGCGAAAGCUAGGGGAGCAAACGGG
rnacentral:rRNA from 1 species